CGAGUGAAGCGGGAAAAGCUCAAAUUUAAAAUCUGGUGGUCUCUGGCCAUCCGAGUUGUAAUCUAGAGAAGUGUUACCCGCGUUGGACCGUGUACAAGUCUCCUGGAAUGGAGCGUCAUAGAGGGUGAGAAUCCCGUCUUUGACACGGACUACCAAGGCUUUGUGGUAUGCUCUCAACGAGUCGAGUUGUUUGGGAAUGCAGCUCAAAAUGGGUGGUAAAUUCCAUCUAAAGCUAAAUAUAGGCGAGAGACCGAUAGCGAACAAGUACCGUGAGGGAAAGAUGAAAAGAACUUUGGAAAGAGAGUUAAACAGUACGUGAAAUUGCUGAAAGGGAAACGCUGGAAGUCAGUCGCGUUGGCUAGGAAUCAACCUUACUCUUUUGUAGGGCUUACUUCUUAGUUGACGGGCCAACAUCAAUUUUGAUUGCUGGAAAAAGGCUUAGGGAAUGUGGCACCUUCGGGUGUGUUAUAGCCCUAGGUCGUAUACAGUGAUUGGGAUUGAGGAACGCAGCACGCCGAAAGGUUGGGUYUCGACCACACUCGUGCUUCGGAUGUUGGCAUAAUGGCUUUCAUCGACCCGUCUUGAAACACGGACCAAGGAGUCUAACAUGCCUGCGAGUGUUUGAGUGGAAAACUCGAGCGCAYAAUGAAAGUAAUAGUUGAGAUCUCUGUCAUGGAGAGCAUCGACGCCCGGACCUGAUGUUUACUGACGGUUCUGCGGUAGAGCAUGUAUGUUGGGACCCGAAAGAUGGUGAACUAUGCCUGAAUAGGGUGAAGCCAGAGGAAACUC
rnacentral:rRNA from 1 species